UGGAAAGAAAUAGGGCUUAGUAAAAAAAAGAAGAAAAAACCCAAAAAACAAACAAAAAAAUAAAAUAAAAUAAAAAUUAAAAAAAAAAAAAAAGAAAGAGGGCUUAGUAUCUUUUGGUCUGUGUAGACUUAGUCCUGAAGAAGUGUGUAGCAAAUGAAGAAAGUGUGAGGUCACAAUUUCUGGAGUCAGGUAGACAUAUAGCGAGAAAUCAACUGUAAAUAGUAAGAAAAGUUUCAUCUAAGCAAGCAGAAUUUCAAGAAUAGAGAAUAAACAACAGGUAAUAUGUGGCAUCCUGUGCUGCAAUUAUGAUGUCAGGAGCACCCUAACAAGCAGAAUGAGUAACAGCAAGGAGUCUAUCAGCAGGCUGUAUAUCCUUGUAUCCAGACAGGCAGCACCAGGGAAGACUUUUAGCAGAUCAAAGCAGGUAGUCUCCCUGAGUAAUUGUGGCACGAUUUCACGGCUCAAUGCAAAUGUGAAGAUGGAAUACGUCUGUUUUUCUCAGGCUGUGAGGAGAAUUAGUGAAACAAAUAUAGUUCUGAGGGCAUCAGGGGAAGAAGGUAUAUCUUUUUAUCGUGUAUUCAUCUUGCUGCUUUUUAUAUUAAUGUUGACUAUGAUAUUUACUAGCUUCCAUUCAUUGCCCUUGUGCCUCCCAAAUUCACAUCGCAUGUUAAUUACAAGAAAAUUACAGGGGUGGGAGAAUUGCUCAAGCUCAGGAGUUUGAGACCAGCCUGGGCAACAUAGUGAGACUCCUAUCUCAUUUUCUUAAAAAAGAAAAAUAUGGUUUUUUUUCCCUAUUCACAUAUGAACAUUUUGAUUCAUAGAAAUGCACCACAAAGAUUGGUCUAGGGAGGAAGAGGAACCCUGGAAAUAGGAUAAAAAUUCUAUGAAGUGAGAGCUGUCUUGGAGGGGUUGCAGAAUAUAAUGCUGGCAACUGCCAUUGAAAAGAUUUGGAUGCCUUUGUCCCUGAGUAGAAUUGUCAAGAAUUUGGCAAUGUGAGUCACGGGGAAAUGCAGGCUUGGCAUACAUGACAAUACAAAUACCCUGCAUGACAUCUACUAUGGAUUUAUAUAUAUGUUUCCUGAGACUUCUGCAAGUAGAUUUUUUUUUCCUUGAAAGAUUCUUGCUCUGUCUCCCAGGUUGGAGUACAGUGGCCCAAUCUCAGCUCGCUGCAACCUCUGCCUCCCAGGCUCAAGCAAUUCUUGUGCCUCAGCCUUCCAAGUAGCUGGGAUUACAGGUGUGUGCCACCAUGCCCGACUAAUUUUUGUAUUUUUAGUAGAGAGGAGGUUUUGCCAUGACGGCCAGGCUCGUCUUAAGUGAUCUGCCUCCCUUGGCCCCCCAGAGUGUUGGGAUUAAAGGCUUGAGCCACCAUGCCGGGCCUGCAAGUAGCUUUUCCUUAAGACUAUGUCUUAGUCCAUUUGUGUUGCUAUAAAGGAAUAGCUGAGGCUUGGUCGUUUAUAAAGAAAAGAGGUUUAUUUGGCUCAUGGUUCUGCAGGCUGUACAGCAAGCAUGGCACCAACAUCUGCUUCUGAUGAGGGCCUCAGGAAGCUUCCACUCAUGGCAGAAGGUGAAGGGGAGCCAUCGUGUGCAGAGAUCACAUGGAGAGGAGGAGACAAGAAGAAGAGUUGGUGCUCUUUUCAACAACCAGUUCUUGCUCUUUUCAGCAACCAGUUCUCACGGGAACUAAAAGUGAGAAGUUGCUCACUCCCAAGACAAUGGCACCAAGCCAUUCAUGAGGGAUCCCCCACUGUGAUCAAACGCCUUUCACCAGUCCCCACCUCCCACAUUGGGGAUCAAAUUUCAACAAGAGACUUGGUAGGGCCAAACAAAACAUAUCCAAACCACAGCAGAGUGCUUGUCUUGUAUUUCAGAUCCUGUUAGAAGUGUGGGUUUUGAGAAGAUAUGGGUGUGAAUUACGUCUGCCGUUAAAUGAAAAUAAUUUUGGAAGAUGUGUGUAAAAUUGUGCAGAUAUAUCUUCCACACAUAUUUUCUUCCCUCAAAACCCCUUCAUCGCAGUGGGACCCUUAUUGCUGCCAGUAGUGAUAGUCUUGAAACCAUGAAUAUUGAUUCUCACCAAAUUUGAACAAUUCUGCUUUACUCUAUCAUAAAAAAACAAAACAAAAACAACAACAACGACAAAAACAGGGCCAGGUGUGGUGGCUCAUGCCUGUAACCCCAGCACUUUGGGAGGCCAAGGCCGGCAGAUCACCUGAGGUCAGGCGUUCGAGACCAGCCGGACCAACGUGGAGAAACCCUGACUCUACUAAAACCACAAAAUUAGCAGAGUGUGGUGGCACACACCUGGAGUCCCAGUUACUCGGGAGGCUGAAGCAGGAGAAUUGCUUGAACCAGGGUGGGCGGAGGUUGUAAUGAGCCUAGAUUGCGCCAUUGUACUCCAGCCUAGGCAACAAGAGCGAAAGUCCGUCUCAAAAAAAAAAAAAAAAAGCAAAAUAGCAAACAAACCUCAAUAUAUGUAUUUUGGAGAUGUUCUUUUUUUUAAAAAAGUUAAUAACCAUUUUGGGUUCAAGGGCACACAUGCAAGUUUGUUACAGGUGAAUUGUGUGACACAGAGGUUUGGUGUAUGGAUUAUUUCAUUGCUCAGGUAAUAAGUGUAGUACCUGAUAGGUAAUUUUUCGAUCCUCACCCUCCUCCCACCCUUCACCCUCAAACAGGAUCCAGUGUCUCAAAACCAAUAUUUUUUUCAGAUCCUUUUGUAUAUUGAAUAUUGUGCUAGGUUGAAUGCUUGUAUUAGGGAAAUACAACAAACACACAUUUAUUUAUUCAAUAAAUAUUGAGUACUUACUAUAUGCCAGGCCCUGUAUUAGGUCAUGGGAUAUGCUGCUGCACUGAAUAAAAACACACACAAAAAAAAAGCAAGCAAAAAUUCCUGCUGCCGUAGGGCUUAUAUACUAGUUGGUUAACUGGGGAUGACAAUAAGCAACAUAAGUAAACUGUAGAUAAAUUAGAUAGUGAUGAGGAGUGUGUGCUGAGGAUGAAACAUAGCACAGGGAAUGAAGGGUAGGAGAAGGAGUUAAAGUUAUAGACAGGGUGGCCCAGAAAGGCCCCGUGAAGAAGGUGAUGUUUGAAUAAAGACCCAAGAAGGUCAGAGAAGGAGCCCUGUGGAUAUCUGGAGGAAGAGGCCUGGGUAGGAAGCAUGCCUGGCAUGUUGGAGGAAAGGCUGGGAGAUGGAAUGGCUUGGAACAGGUGAAUGAGGGGCAGAAUAGCAGGAGAGGAGAUCACAGGGUCACAGAGAACCAGGCCACACAGAGUAGUGUCCAUCUUAGAAAGACUCGGGCUUCCACUCUGAGAUAGAAAGGCAUUAGACGGCUUUUUGUUUGUUUAGGUUUUCUUAUGUAUUUAUUUUUUGUAGAUGAGAGAAAGAUGUGACUUCCAUCUGAACAGCAUCACUUUGACUGUGAGUGGUGAUUAGAGGGAAGGAAGAAGAUGGAAGUGGGAGACCGUUCGGGAGGCUACUGCAGGAAUCCAGAUGAGCCAUGAUGGUGACUUGCUGUAAGUCAGGGUUGGUGACAAGUGAUUAGACUUGGGGUACACUUAAAAAGUGUAUCUGGAAGGACUUUCUGGUGGGUUAGAUUGGAAAGGAGGAACGUCAAAGUCUCUGAAGCUUUCAGACUGAGCAAAGGAUGAGAUGAAGUAGUAGACUGAUGGACAAGCAAGUCUGAGUGGGUUGGUGAGAUCACUGUCAGUCAUGCUGAGCUUGAGGUGCCCAUUAGGCAAGUGGCUGUGUCAAGUAGGCGAGUGGAUAUGGAAGCCUGGACUUGCAGGGAGAGGUCUAGUUUGGAGAUAUCAGUCUGUAAGUGGGCAGCUUAGAGAUAGUAUUUAAAGCAAUAAAACUGGAUGGAAUCAUCUAGGAAUACAUUUGGAUACAAAAGAUAAAAAUUCAAGGGGUACACCCUGGAUCUCUUAUAAAACUAAAGAUCUGGAGAAUUGGAGGAACCAGGAAAGGUGAGUGAGAAGGAGUGAUUUGUGAGGUAGUAGGAAAACCGAGACAGAGAUGUAGCUAAGUGUAGAAAUUCCUGGGGGAGGGGUACGGAAGAGAGAGGGGUGUGUGUGUGGAUACGUGGUAUGUAUGUCAUAUAAACUGUAUGAAAUGCAACUUAUAGAAACUAAAUUGACUGCUGCAUUUAGCAACAUGGAGGUCAUCUGUGACCUUGAGAAGCACAUAUAAAACAAAAAUAAUGGAGCACAGAUUAAGUGACUCAUGUGUGGUAGAGACCCUGCAUGUGAGAACAAUUUAAAAGUCUUGUAAAAUGUACAGAUUCCUGGAUCUUAUUCCCCAGAGAAUUGAACCUGUAACUCUAGUAUGGUGACUGGGAAGCUUUCUUUUGAAAAUGUACCAUUUCACUUAAAUGACCAGCCAGAUUUUGAAUUCCCCACUGUAGGUGCUUCACAAUCAGGAGACAGUAGUAAUCACACUGAGCACAGAAUGUUACCCGAAGCAGAAAAGUUACAGUUGAAUAACCAGAGAAGCUAGGAAACCUUAUCAACGCCUCAUGAGCAAUGCAGCCAAUUGACCAUAAUAAAUGAGGAAAAGGUGCUCAAAUUUCUCCAAGGAGCUCAAACUAGGGAGAGAGGAUUUGGAAAAAGGACGUUGAAGCUGAAUGCUGCAAACUGCAAGUCCAGCUAAGUCUAUGUGGGUAACCAAGAGUCACCGAGGGCAUCCAAACCUGAAUAGGACAUUACGAAGUUAAUAUUUUGUGAAUAUUAUAUAUGGUAGCAUUUUUAAAGAAAAUAAUUUGAAAAAUAAUCCAUUGUGAAGGUUAUCUUUCAUCUCUAAC
rnacentral:lncRNA from 1 species